GUCCAGAGACUAUGAUGUGAUAGUUUCCAAGCACAUAUCUGAUUAGUAUAUGUUGAAAUCCAUCUAUCUCUGAGUUUUCUGGAC
ensembl:snoRNA small nucleolar RNA, C/D box 121A